rnacentral:rRNA from 1 species
AGGGAAUCUUCGGCAAUGGGGGCAACCCUGACCGAGCAACGCCGCGUGAGUGAAGAAGGUUUUCGGAUCGUAAAGCUCUGUUGUAAGUCAAGAACGAGUGUGAGAGUGGAAAAUUCACACUGUGACGGUAGCUUACCAGAAAGGGACGGCUAACUACGUGCCAGCAGCCGCGGUAAUACGUAGGUCCCGAGCGUUGUCCGGAUUUAUUGGGCGUAAAGCGAGCGCAGGCGGUUUGAUAAGUCUGAAGUUAAAGGCUGUGGCUCAACCAUAGUUCGCUUUGGAAACUAUCAAACUUGAGUGCAGAAGGGGAGAGUGGAAUUCCAUGUGUAGCGGUGAAAUGCGUAGAUAUAUGGAGGAACACCGGUGGCGAAAGCGGCUCUCUGGUCUGUAACUGGCGCUGAGGCUCGAAAGCGUGGGGAGCGAACAGGAUUAGAUACCCUGGUAGUCCACGCCGUAAACGAUGAGUGCUAGGUGUUGGGUCCUUUCCGGGAUUCAGUGCCGCAGCUAACGCAUUAAGCACUCCGCCUGGGGAGUACGACCGCAAGGUUG